GGGCUCUGCCAGGGCACUGCCAGGGCACUGCCAGGGCUCUGCCAGCGCUGCCUCCCUCCUUUGCAGGCUCUGCAGGAAUCCACAGAACAUCCUCACUCACUUGGGGUGUGUUCUCAGCCUCGCCUGCAGUUUUUGGGGUGGUUGCUCCCUGCUGCCUCUUCUCACAAAAAUUCCUCUUUCCCCCCUGCUGAACCAUGCCAGCUGUCUGCCUUUGGGGCAGCUCCACCCCACAGUAGCAAAGAGGAGGCUGUACAUGGUAACCCAGCCCAGCUCCCAGACUUAAUGAUGCCUGAUGCAGACUGCUGUGGGAAAAGGCUGGCAUCAAGAAUCCCUUGAAAAUUAAAUUUCAAGAAAAUAGCACAAGUGGAAAAGUAUAUUUUUCUUACUCUGAUUUUUUUGCUGUGUGUCUUGUGUUAUCAGAUACUGCAACCAAUAAUCAUUGCACUGAUCUGAGUGAAAUUCUCCUCCCUGAAUAAUUUUUACUUCAGUGAGCUGCUCUGGUGUCGUUCCUGAUAUCCAAAAUUUGAGUUGUGGACUGGAUACCCAGGACUAUUUUGGGAAUAGGAAGAUAAAGAACUUCGUUCACACUUUCCCCCAAGCCCUUUGGCUGUGCCAGUGCUGGGAUCUCACCCUUGUGUUGCUGCUGCAGACAGAGGAGCUUUUCCUUCCGAGUCACUAUUCAAUGCACACUCACUCACACGUGGUGUUGGGGAUCCUUUGGAGCUGUACAUUGGGUGGAUAAUUGUACAUUUGGAAUGAUAAAGCAUCAGGAUGGGAAGUGGACCCUGUCCUCACACUGUGGUGUGAGAGGGGAUGUUUUGAAAGUCAUUUUUCAGUUUUUGAUGGUUGGACUCAAUGAUUUAGAGUCCAGCCUUAGUUAUUCCAUGAUUCUGUGGCUCAAAGGUGCUGUGCCAGGAGCUUGGAUUAACAUGGAGCUGAGUAUUUAUUAUCCUUGGGUAUUUACAGGUAUUUUUUAAAGCUGAUGUCUCCUAGCUGUAGCAGCUGGUUUAAAUCCAGGUGUGGGUAUGGUGCCUCUGCAGUUUCAAACAGGUGCUUGGAAAAACCCUGCAGGGAUUCAGCCACUGAAGGUGGCACUGACACACAUUUACACCAUCUAUUAUUCACCAUGGCACAGCUACUUCAUUUCUUCCUUUCUUGAGCUGAUGGUUGCUUAAGCAGCUUAAAGUUCGUUCACAAUAUUAUUGCAUAUGGUUUUGAAGAGUGAUUUUUUUACUGUGCAAACCUGUAAAAUGCAGAGAUAAUGUUACCUUGCCAAGUGUGUGGCCCUGGAAGGAGCUGCUGCUUGGGUUCCUACAUCAUUAGCAGAACUCAACAACAGCUCUUGUCUGCUGUUAGAGAGGCCCUUACCACUACUAAGAGAAGCUGAAUUACCAUGGAGUGGUAAUAAAUGCAGCAUUACUGCCUUUCAUGAUUUUAUCAGAAGUCUCAUCAUCUCUUUUGUUGUUAUCUUAGAUGCUGAGGCAAUACCAUUAUGGGAAAGGCAUUCCUUUCAUGCAGCUGAAAACUGCAAUGCAAAUAAAGCAAGCCCUGAAUGUACAUCCUCUGGUUUUUAAAGCAGGUUCCUAAGAGGGGGCACUGACUUGUGGUGGGUUUUAUACUUGAGACUGAAAACACCACCAAGUUUUGUCAAGCUGUAAGAGCAGUGAAGGCUCUCCUGACUGUGACCUUCUGUGCCUGAAGGGAGCCUAAAAAAAGAUGGAGUUUAUUUCCAAGGGCCUGGAGUGACAGGAGAAAGGGACAUUGCUUCAAAUGGACAGAGAAUGGGUUUAGGUUUGACAGAGGGACAAAUUCUUCCCUGUGAGGAUGGUGGUACCCAGAGCAGCUGGGGCUGUCCCUGGAUCCCUGGCAGUGCCCAGGGCCAGGCUGGACACUGGGACAGUGAAAGGUGUCCCUGCCAUGGCAGGGGUGGCACUGGGUGGGCUUUAAUGUCCCUUCCAAGCCAGCCCAUCCUGGGAUUUUGUGAUCUCCCCACCCAUAGCUCUGUGGCCCAGUCUUGAUUCUGCUGUGCUCUGUCUCUGGAGCACUGUAAUAACCCUAUUUCCAAGCACUUUAUUUUUUUCCUGAGGGGUUGUUGUUUUUUUGUUUUUUUUUGUGCAACAAAGAUAGGCUUUUGGUCUGUGCUUUGCAGAACCAUUUAAUGUUGUUUGUUUUUAAUCUGUUGUGUGAUUAAAAUAGAUUAAUGUUGUAGUAACAUAAAAACCCUCAGGGGGUUUUGUUCUCUUUGUAAAUAUUCUCUAGGAUCUCUUCUGUCUUCUAAACUGUGCGUAGGGAGAGUGUUUAAUGGGACCUGGGGAGAAAAGAGACGCAUCUUAAACUUAAUAUAAGAAUUUAAUUUUUAAUAAGUUUCAUUUGGGGUUAGAGUAUUCAUAUUGGAGUGGAAAUUAAAGUGUCUAAAUGCUUUGUGUGUAAGCUGUUGGAAAUUCUUUAAAGAGACAUUCAGGGGAAAAUCUCCCUUUCCUUUUUUAUCUGAUCAUAACAAUAGAAAAUGAGAGAAGGCAGUGUUUGAUGUCACUCCCUGGUAUUUGAGCUGGUUUUGCAAGCAUUGUGUGAGGUGUCUUUAGUGAUGCAGAGGGUUUGUGUGCAGGGAGUGCUGUGAUCCAGCAGAUCCUGUGGUCCAUGGCUGGAUGGAUCUGUGCAGGGCCAUGGGGAUCAGGGCAGGAUGGAGUUCCUGGCCGUGUUUUUGGCUGUGUGGAGCAGAGUUGGGGUGAACCAAGCCGGGUGUGCUGCCCUGGCUUUCAGCAGGCUCCAGCAAAGUGCCCGUGCUCUCCCUCCAGGCUUGUGGGUGAAAUGAAGAUCGCUGGCUUCAUAAACAAAGUGCUCUGCUCUUUGGCUGGGAGCGAGGGCUUUGCUGUUUUAAUCAAGCUGAGGGGGAUUUUCACUUUCAGUUGAGUGAGAGCAGCUUUAACCCUGGCAGGAGCCGUGCUGCAGGCAGCCCCCGCUGUGCCUCGGGCUCUGCCAGGCCACAGCCACAUCCCAGGGGGAACCAUCACCUCCAGGAGCCCUCUGGGGACCACCUGCACCUCUGGCUGCCUCCUCAGCCGUGGGAGAGCUCGUGCUUUGGGUUUGGGAUGUUCCAUCUCUGUCCUGCAGCCUCCCCUGUGUCCCCAGGGCCUGUCCCCAAGGGCCCCAGCACGGCCUGCUGCAUCCAUUACCUCCGGCUCCCCGGGAUAAAUCACCAGUGGAGUUGAUUCCUUUGCUGUUGAUAACUUGCACAAGUGUGUCACGAGUCCUGGAAGGGGGAUGAAGCUCACCAAAUUGCAGCUGCAGCCAAAGGCCCUGCUGCAGGCACAUCCCCAGCUCUGGGAUUAGUUUAAUAGCUCGGCUUUAUCUUGGCACUGUGGGCUGCUUUCUGCCUUCACAGGGAGGCAUCACUAUGUCCUCAGGCUCUUUUGUAAGAUUAAGAGCUUCCCAUGGCAUCGUGACAAGGAGGAAAUUUAGGGAACAAGAGUGUUUAACUUGGAGCUAAUCUGGUUUUUGUGAAGGAGGGAGGAUUAGGGCAGUGAAUUCUCCUGCCGGGCGGGUUUGUGCCACGAUGGCACCAAGGAGGAAACUCUGUGGAGAAGAAGCUCCAUCCUGCUGGAUCCCUGGCAGUGCCCAAAGCCAGGCUGGAUGGGGUUUGGAGCAGCCUGGGACAGGGGGAGGUGUCCCUGCCAUGGCAGGGGUGGAAAUGGAUGAGCUUCAAUGUCCCUUCCAGCCCUGGGAUUCUGUCAUCUCCUCCUUUACUUAUUUCCUGGGCCACAGAGUUUUGUGUCUCCCAAACCCUUGUGUUUAUCUCUGAACUCACUUUGUACCUAGAGUUCAUUUUUCAGCCUUGCUCGAAGCAGAGUGACUUAGAGAAAACACUUCAUGUAUUCAUGGUGGCACCACCUCAGCCCUCCCCAGGAUGAGCUGUAAAACAUUUUCAGCAGUUUCCAGUAAAACUGCUGGUAGCUGGUAAAUGUUAAUUAAACAGGACUUUUUUUUUCCCCUUCUAGUCAGAAACAAACUUUAGGAAGCUUGAAGUGAGUGCUGGAGAGCUUCCAACACAAAUGUCAGGCUUGGCAUCUCCCGGGAGCAGGAGGGGUUGGAUCCCUGCAGAGGUGGAGGGUGAGGAGCAAAUGUGGGUCCCGACCUUCAGCCAGAACCAUUUCCUUGUGCUGCCCUCCCUCCUUCCCCCACAAUCAAUUUGACAGCCUUGCCUUGAUGAUAAUUUAAAAAAAUCCUCCCCACAGUGGCCACAGCUGUGUGUGUGUGUACCUGUGCACAGGUGUGCAGGUAUGUGCCAAUGUGUGGGAUAAAAGUGUCUCACACUGGGUAGAUCUGCUGGAUGGAGCUCAUAAUAGUUUCUUUCUAAGUGUUAAUGGCCCCACGUGAUUUUCUUUGUAUUUUCUGUGUAUUUUCUGUGUAUUUAUGUUGAUUUUCUGUGUAGUUAUACUGAUUUUCUGUGUAUUUAUAUUGAUUUUCUGUGUAUUUAUAUUGAUUUUCUGUGUAUUUGCUUUGUUGCACUGGAGAUCAGUAUGGUUUCAGCCUUCUGCAUGUUAUGUAAGGAUUAUAUAUGAUUUUAUGUAUCAGUGGUUGUCAGGGUCCCAUGGAAAACCAGGUACAUGAGCUCAGGACAUGAUUAUUAAAUGCUCAUGGCUGUCAGCUUCACAGGAAAGGGAAAAAACCCAGUGAGGAACUUCUCAAACAUCUCAAACACAAAAGGGAGCAGUGCAAGGAAAUAAAUUAUUAUAUCUUACAUUUACUUACUCAAAUGCUUUUUUGAACCACAGUGAGGAGUUCUGGCAUUCUGCCAAGCUUGAAUUUGACCUUUUUUUAAGUCCUUAUUAUUAUUCUCAUGAAACGAAUACAGAGAGGCCUUAAGCAAGAGCUGAUUCUUGUUUUACAUGAGCCCCUGCCCUGAAAAGCUCAUCAUCUAAAUCCUGGAAAGGGAAACAGGGCCAAGCACUGACCUAACUGCAUCUUGAGGGAGCUGGAGCAGAACUUUAAUCUUCUAGUCUAGUGCACUGUCCCUGAAUCACGGUGAUUUUCCAUAGUUCACAUCAUUUUUUCUGUGUAUCUGAAGAUGUUGCAAGAUGAGUUUGCCCAAUACAUCCUCAAGGGUUAUUGCUAAAAGCUCCUUGUAGCCUUGCAAGAAGGAUGUGCUUGGGCAUAUCUAUUACCUAUUAAACCUGGUGAAAUAAUGGAGCUUUCCCAUGUCAUAACAAAUCACACCCGUGCCAAAACAGCUGCAAACAUUCUCUAAGACUUAAUGAGCUCUUGCUGGUUCACAGUGGUCCAAACAAGUUGUUAUUGUGGCUGUUAGAGAGUGCAGAAUUAUAUUAUCGGAACAGUCUCAUAAAAAGACAAGAUGGGAUGUCAGGGAAGCCAAUCCCACACUGCAGGGAGGGCUGUGGGGCACACAAAGGCACUGUUUUUCCAUGGUAAUGCAGUUUAUAGAUGUGUAAUCUUCUGUAAUUCUGCUAUGAUUAAACAGGUGUUUUUCUUCCUGAAGUUCUUUCAAGCUGUAAGAGAGGACAAAACAGAGAGAGGGAAAUAUUUUAUAUUUCCAUUAUGCAUAAAGCAGCCCUGGAUCCCAAAAUGAAGCAGAAGAGGGAAUUUGGGGAGCUAAACUCCACUCGGACUUUCAAGAGCUUCUCUCAAAGAAGCUUCCACACACCAUCAUAAAAAUGUCAGUGUGAAAUAUCCGAGCAGGAGCAAAUUGAACAAUCUGGUGAUUCUAGUGCCUUCAUCUGCAGUCUCAUGCCUGCAAGGGUGUGCAAAAGUCAAUAACUGGAAUUGGAGGUUAUUGAUUAUUUCACUGGGCUGCUGUUGAAACAUCGUAUGUGCUUGAUUUGGUCUUCAAGCACCCAGUAAACGCUUGGGCUUAGUUCUACCUCCCUUUGUGAAAACAAUUGAAAAUACUAUAAAACUGAAA